rnacentral:rRNA from 1 species
CCUACGGGGGGCAGCAGUGGGGAAUAUUGCACAAUGGGCGCAAGCCUGAUGCAGCCAUGCCGCGUGUGUGAAGAAGGCCUUCGGGUUGUAAAGCACUUUCAGCGGGGAGGAAGGCGAUAAGGUUAAUAACCUUGUCGAUUGACGUUACCCGCAGAAGAAGCACCGGCUAACUCCGUGCUAGCAGCCGCGGUAAUACGGAGGGUGCAAGCGUUAAUCGGAAUUACUGGGCGUAAAGCGCACGCAGGCGGUCUGUCAAGUCGGAUGUGAAAUCCCCGGGCUCAACCUGGGAACUGCAUCCGAAACUGGCAGGCUAGAGUCUUGUAGAGGGGGGUAGAAUUCCAGGUGUAGCGGUGAAAUGCGUAGAGAUCUGGAGGAAUACCGGUGGUGAAGGCGGCCCCCUGGAUAAAGACUGACGCUCAGGUGCGAAAGCGUGGGGAGCAAACAGGAUUAGAUACCCUUUAGUC